CCUACGGGGGGCAGCAGUGGGGGAUAUUGCACAAUGGGGGAAACCCUGAUGCAGCGACGCCGCGUGAGUGAAGAAGUAUUUCGGUAUGUAAAGCUCUAUCAGCAGGGAAGAAAAUGACAGUACCUGACCAAGAAGCCCCGGCUAACUACGUGCAAGCAGCCGCGGUAAUACGUCGGGGGCAAGCGUUAUCCGGAUUUACUGGGUUUAAAGGGAGCGUAGUCGGUUAUGUAAGUCUGGAGUGAAAGCCGGGGGCCCAACCCCGGGAAUGCGUUGGAAACUGUGGAGCUGGAGUGCAGGCAGGGCAGGCGGAAUUCCUGGUGUAGCGGUGAAAUGCGUAGAUAUCAGGAGGAACACCGGUGGCGAAGGCGGCCUGCUGGACUGUAACUGACGUUGAGGCUCGAAAGCGUGGGGAGCAAACAGGAUUAGAUACCCGGGUAGUC
rnacentral:rRNA from 1 species